CUUAUCUUGCGCAGCUUAGGUGGGAGGCUAUGAACCUUUUCUUCUGGGAAGAGGGGAGCCAUCAGUGAGAUACCACUCUUGGUAAGCUAGAGCGCUCAGUCUUCACCGUCAUCCGGUAAGACGACAGUUUCAGGCGGGCAGUUUGACUGGGGCAGUCACCUCCCAAAAGGUAAUGGAGGUGUGCAAAGGUUCCCUCAGGCUGGACGGAAAUCAGCCAUAGAGUGUAAAAGCAUAAGGGAGCUUGACUGCGAGACUGACAUGUCAAGCAGAGACGAAAGUCGGCUUUAGUGAUCCGACGGUGCUGUGUGGAAAGGCCGUCGCUCAACGGAUAAAAGUUACUCUAGGGAUAAC
rnacentral:rRNA from 1 species